CUAUGCAAUCUGCUAGCUUGUC
rnacentral:miRNA from 11 species